UACUAUGAGAUAGAAGAGGUAGAAAUAUGCAGUCUGAUUUGCAGUAUCUGUUCUCUUGGGGAUACACACGUCAUGUUAGACCUAUCUCAUGUUGCAUUUGGUCCUCAUCGGGUGAGAUCAUGAUCCUGUCCUCUACAGAUGGAAGAAAUGGAUUAGCUAAGUGGCUCUGGCUCAGGGACUCUCAGGAAACUUCAGUCAAGAUGUCAGCUGAGUCUACAGUCAUCUGAAGGCUUGACUGGGGCUGGAGAAUCUGCUUCCAAGAUGGUGCACUCACAUGGCUGGAAUGUCGGUGCCUCAGUUCCUCUCCAGUGGGACUCUCCAGAGGGCUGCUUGAGUGUCCUCACAACACGGCAGCUGGCUUCUCCCAGAACAAGUGAUCCAAGAGGGCAAGGCAGAAGCAGCAAUGUUUCUUAUGACCUAGCACAGGAAGUCACAUAUCAUCAGUUAUGCCUUAUUUUAUUAGUCACAUCAUUCAACCCUGAUACGCUGUGGCAAAGGACUGCACAAGGGUGUGAAUACCAGGAGGAGCACUGGGAGCCAUCUUGGAGACUGGUUGCCACAAAUUAUUAACAUAAAUUGCAGAUGAAUUAUUUAACAAGAGGGAAUUGGAUUAAAUACCUCUCUAUUCUGGCAAUCAACAUCUGACUACUACCAUUAUUUAAAAAAUUCCAAAUGAGUAAAGCCAAAUUAAAAAUUUGAGCUCUUUCAGGGGGAAAGAUUUAUGAUCAACGUCAAGACAGAUCAUUAGCACAGGACUAUGGAAGGCCAUGUAUAAUGUGCUUGGUUCUACUCAUUGCCAUUGUAAGCAUAGAGCCCUUGGGUCUUGGUACCUUUUCCAGAUUCUCUGAAAUACCUAACAGGCCUUCAAUAGCUGUUCUAUGCCAGCUAUUGUGUUAUCUUCAUGAGGCUACUCAGCUCACUUGGCUUGAG
rnacentral:lncRNA from 1 species